AGAUUGUGAUGUAAUGUCAAGAGUGUCUGGUAUUUUUGUUGAAACCAUCUGGCAACAACCGUACUUGGGUCCCCUAAUGCAAUGGUUUCCUAUCUCCAGCCUGCAGACAGGUGCCAGGCCGCAGCACACUGCCAGGCCACACCCGCACCUUGAUGAUUGGCUUGGCAGGAAUCUAAGUUCCCUGUAGGCUGCCAGAGGUUUGGGGCUGCAGAGCAGAGAGCUUCUGGCUGGGGAGGAGCACUCUCUCAGCAGGAGAAGUGCCCUAUUCCAGACAACAAGCAUGCUGGUAGGGAAGGGGACAAAAGGAAAAAAGAAGGAAGGAGUACCAAGAGCCAGACUGUCUCAACACAGCAGCCCUGGCUGGGCUGCAGACAUGACUCUCUGGACUGGGGCAGUAAAAUUUCAGGUCAUCAGCUGCAAGACUGCUGCAGCCCUCCAUGUGAUAUAGAGAACCUCAUCAAUGACAAGAGGAGAUAAGCACUAAAGUUUUAGAUGGCGAUCAAAUGUGAGAUCCAAUAUUAACCAUUAAAUUUAAAACCAAGGCACCAAUUAAGCAAAUAAGCACCUGAAUAGUCCUGUUGAAGUCACAUGCUUAAGUACCUGCGGGAACAGUACCGAAAAUUGUGACAAGUUAUAAAUUGACAUCAAAAUUUAGGGAUGUCAUAUGAUUUCUCUCAUACAAUUAAGUUUUAUUUUAAAAUAAUGUUUGUAUCAAAUCAAGAUAUAGCCAAAGGGGUUUUUAAUGUUCAUUUUGCAGUGAUUUGACAAGGUACAAGUUAAAGGAGGAAGGUUUGUUAACUCUGAUAAGCUAAUUACCUUAACAUUAAUAGUAUAGACAAUUAUUUACACUAAUGUUUGUAUUAAACGGCUACAAAAAAAAUCUGUGAAAUUUACUGUGUAAUCAUAGGUUUAUUUACUCAAGAGAUUAAAGCCUGAACCUGUUGCAAUGAUUAA